UUUAGCACCUUGUUGCCUCUCUCUAUUUUUAAUUAGAGACUGAAAGGUUCUUUCUUGCACCUGUGAAGAGCCUCUCUGGCCAAGCCUCAAGCCUAGAUUACACCUUCCACCAUACCAUGGAUCCUGAAGGCUGCUUAAUGAGUUCCUUGAGAGCGUCCACAUGUGUGCAUCUCAGUCCACUGUUUUUAGUGUAACAAAGCCAUAUAGCUACAAAAGAUCACAGAGGAAGAGUGAUGAUACCAGGAUGAGUUUGUGACGGCAGGUUUUUCACCUUUCCUCUGUGUGGCAAUUAUUAACAGAUGUCAAUUCUCCAGCCAUUUUCUUAGCACUUGGGGUCUCUAAGAUGGGAGACGGGGAGAAAACAUCAAAGACCACAAGCCAGGCUGCCUUUGGGGCUUUCCCAAAGAAAGGCCCACCAUCUUCAAGGAGAGAGCAGGAAGAGGGAGAUGAAAGAAGUGCCGGGGUGUGCGGAGCCAUUUCAACUUUUGACUUUGUAGCCAGGAGGGAGGGACAUUACCUGAGAGGGGGAAGUGUUGUCACAGUGUUUUAAGUGUUUUGGUUUAGCAGAGCACACAUAUGUGCAGGUAAAAAUAAGCAA